AUUGGUUGAAAGACCUUCAAUUGUUCUUUGAACAAUUGGUUUUUAAUUAUUAUUAUUUAUUAUUUUUUUUUUUUUUCUUCGCCAACUUUUUUUUUCCUUCGCUGUUUUUUUGUUUCACAAGAUGUCGCUUAGAUAUAUGGUAUAUGAUAUCGAACAGUUAAUGCGCUUCUGAAACUGACACCGCGUAACAAAAACCUUUACCUUGUAAGAGUUAUCUCCCCGAACACUGUUUUUCUUGUGGCCACUAAGGCUUCGCAACCGUAAAAGAAAGCGACAAAUUUAUUUUUCCAAAUUGCUCGUUAUAUCCUCAGGAUGAUCUGUUUUAUUUUGACCGAAGCUAUCUGGAGACUCCAUAUGAGAGUUAUCCCCCUUUUAUAUAUGAUAUAAGUGAUAUGCAUUUCUAACUGGUAAACCAUAAGUGAUAGAGACCUAGGGUCUUUAGAUUUAAGAUCCUUGGUCCAAAAAAAUGAAAAUUAGGUCAAGGUCAAAGGUCAAGGUCAAAUUCUAAUUUUGAUUUUGGCUUAUUUUCACUUAUUUUC
rnacentral:lncRNA from 1 species